rnacentral:rRNA from 1 species
CCUACGGGUGGCAGCAGUGAGGAAUAUUGGUCAAUGGACGAGAGUCUGAACCAGCCAAGUAGCGUGAAGGAUGACUGCCCUAUGGGUUGUAAACUUCUUUUAUAUGGGAAUAAAAUGUUCCACGUGUGGGCUUUUGUAUGUACCAUAUGAAUAAGGAUCGGCUAACUCCGUGCCAGCAGCCGCGGUAAUACGGAGGAUCCGAGCGUUAUCCGGAUUUAUUGGGUUUAAAGGGAGCGUAGGGGGAUUGUUAAGUCAGGUGUGAAAGUUUGCGGCUCAACCGUAAAAUUGCAGUUGAAACUGGCAGUCUUGAGUACAGGAGAGGUGGGCGGAAUGCGUGGUGUAGCGGUGAAAUGCUUAGAUAUCACGAAGAACUCCGAUUGCGAAGGCAGCUCACUGGACUGCAACUGACACUGAGGCACGAAAGUGUGGGUAUCAAACAGGAUUAGAUACCCGAGUAGUC